CUCAUGUGGAAAAAUAUUAUUUGGAAAUGGAACCAGACUGGAAAUUGUGGACAACACAAGGUUUGAAUCUAUUGCCCUUGUGACUACAGCAUCCUGCCUGGUUUUUUCUUUGAUAUUAAAUGUUCUCAUCUGUUAUGGAGCUUCGAGGGCAAGGCA